rnacentral:rRNA from 1 species
UGGGGAAUCUUGCACAAUGGGGGAAACCCUGAUGCAGCGACGCCGCGUGAACGAUGAAGCCCUUCGGGGUGUAAAGUUCUUUCGACAGGAACGAUAAUGACGGUACCUGGAGAAGAAGCUGCGGCUAACUACGUGCCAGCAGCCGCGGUAAUACGUAGGCAGCGAGCGUUGUUCGGAGUUACUGGGCGUAAAGAGUGCGUAGGCGGCGAGCCAAGUUUGGUGUGAAAUCUCCCGGCUUAACCGGGAGGGUGCGCCGAAAACUGGUUGGCUGGAGUAUGGGAGAGGAAAGCGGAAUUCCUGGUGUAGCGGUGAAAUGCGUAGAUAACAGGAGGAACACCUGCGGUGUAGACAGCUUUCUGGACCAAAACUGACGCUGAGGCACGAAAGCGUGGGUAGCAAACA